CAAAUACUUACAGCCAACUGAUCCUUGACAAAGCAAAUAAAAAUGUAAAGUGGGGAAAGGACACCCUAUUCAACACAUGAUGCUGGGAUAAUUGGCAAGCCACACGUAGGAGAAUAAAACUGGAUCCUCAUCUCUCACCUUAAACAAAAAUCAACUCAAGAUGGAUCAAGGACUUAAAUCUAAGACCUGAGACUAUAAAAAUUAUUGAAGAUAACAUUGGAAAAACCCUUCUAGACAUUGGCUUAAGCAAAGAUUUCAUGACCAAAAAAACACAUGCAAACAAAACAGAACAAAACAAAACAAAAGCAAAGAUAAAUAGGUGGGACUUAAUUAAACUAAAGAGCUUUUGCACGGCAAAAGGAACAGCCAGCAGAGUAAACAGACAACUCACAGAGCAGGAGGAAAUCUUCACAAUCUAUACAUCUGACAAAACAAACAAAUCAGUAAGAAAAAAAGAAAAUCCCAUCAAAAAGUGGGCUAAGACGCGAAUAAACAAUUCUCAAAAGAAGAUAUACAAAUGGCCAACAAACAUAUGAAAAAAUGCUCCACAUCACUAAUGAUUAAGGAACUGCAAAUCAAAAUCACAAAGUGAUACCACCUUAAUCCCACAAGAAUAGCAAUAAUCAAAAAAUCAAAAAAUAAUAGAUGUUGGAAUGGAUGUGGUGAAAAGGGAACACUUCUACACUGCUGGUGGAAAUGUAAACUAGUACAACAACUAUGGGAAAGAGUGUGGAGAUUCCUUAAAGAACUAAAAACAGAAUUACCAUUUGAUCCAGUAAUCCCAUUAUUGGGUAUUCUACCCAGAGGAAAAGAAGUCAUUAUACGAAAAAGAUACUUGCACACACAUGUUUAUAGCAGCACAGUUCGCAACUGCAAAAAUAUGGAACCAGCGCAAAUGCCCAUCAAUCAAUGAGUGAAUAACUAAACUAUGGUAUAGAUAUAUAUACACCAUA
rnacentral:lncRNA from 1 species